CUUCAAACGGAAUGAUGUGAAUAUAAAUAAUUUACAUCCACAGUAUGCAGAUAUCGUUGGCGAUCCAAAAUUAUGUCAUACUGGGAUGUAUGCUAUUCUCUAUAUGCAACAUUGGGAUGGAAGUGAUCUUAAUAGAACCAUUAAUUCUGAACGCAUGAGCCUUGAAAGAUUGAAAUUUGCAACUCAUAUGGUUCUUGAUAGCGAAAAUGAAAUUGGUGAAAUGGUUACAGCUAAUAUUUGGUCAACCAACGAUGCAGAAUAGUAUUGGGUAACCUUCACAAUUAAUUUCUUUUGUUUUAUUUCAUUCAAUUUUUUAA